UAGCGUAUAUUAAAGUUGUUGCAGUUAAAAAGCUCGUAGUUGAACUUCUGACUGUUUCGAAAGCUGGCAUUUGUCGCUUUCGUGACAGUCAUCCGCUUGGGAACUCCGUUCGAACUUCAUUGUUUGGCGGAAGGAACAGGCAUUUUACUUUGAAAAAAUUAGAGUGUUCAAGGCAGGCUAUAGCCCUGAAUACACAAGCAUGGAAUAAUGAAAUAGGACUGGUUCCAUUUUAUUGGUUAUUGGACUAGUAAUGAUUAAUAGGGACAGUUGGGGGCAUUAGUAUUUAAUUGUCAGAGGUGAAAUUCUUGGAUUAAUUAAAGACUAACUUAUGCGAAAGCAUUUGCCAAGGAUGUUUUCAUUAAUCAAGAACGAAAGUUAGGGGAUCAAAGACGAUCAGAUACCGUCCUAGUCUUAACUAUAAACUAUGCCGACUAGGGAUUGGCCAGGUAAUUAAAACCCGGUCAGCACCUUAUGAGAAAUCAAAGUCUAUGGGUUCUGGGGGGAGUAUGGUCGCAAGGCUGAAACUUAAAGGAAUUGACGGAAGGGCACC
rnacentral:rRNA from 1 species